CCACGACUCCAGGAACGUCACCCGGAAGCAGGAAGCGUCCGGACUGUUGUGAGUCGUCGUUGUGGCUUUUCUGCUGCUACUGGUUCGUUGCUUGUUUUGGGGUCUAAUGGCGAGCUACAAUGGUUCGGGCCGAACCGGGCUGGGAGUCUGGCCCUCGGCGCUGCUGCUGCUGCUGCUGCUGGUAACUGGACUGAGCGGGCCAGUCGGGGCCGUGUCCGAAUCUGGCAAAUGGAUCGUUGACGUCAGCAGAGAAACGUCUUACUUCUACUUCCCCAAAACUCUGUUCAACGGCAGCUCCAUCCGGGUCAAAGUGCUGUCUGGGAAAUGCAACGCUUCCGCCCCGUUGGAUGUUUCCUGGUACCUGCGGAACUCUCACUGCUACGAUGAGGUCUUCAACCAGAACGAGACGGUAGCUGAGAGGUACUUCGGGUCCGAACGUGUCGAGCAGCCUGGAGGAUAUGGAUACUACAUGUCCCACCAGUACUCCAGCAUCAGCUGCAUAAAGCACAUGAGGCCCGACAGGUUUGGCCUCAGUCCCCCCAUUAAGAAGAAACUCCGUCUAACAGAACAACAACAGCAGCCCAUCACAGAUAAAGCUUCGAGCAGAAGGAGACGAGAUGCAGAGGUGAAGCUUCCUGCAGUGAAGGGGGACCAGGCUUCAGCAGAACCCGGAAAAGCUGCAGCUGCUUCUAAAGAGGGGACGGAUGACGAUCUGUAUACCGUGGCUCAGACCUGGGAGGACGGACCCUACAUGUUCAUCCUGAAGGUGGACGCGGCCGACAAGGCUGCAGCCUGGACCAUGCAGCUGGAGAUCAGCAUGAAGGGGCCUUAUGACUACAUCUCAGCCUCUGAAUGGCCUCUGGUGCUGUUCUACAUGAUGAUGUGCGUGCUGUACGUGCUGAUGGCCGUCUUGUGGCUGGUUCUGUUGGCCUGUUACUGGAGGGAUCUGCUCAGAAUCCAGUUCUGGAUCGGGGGCGUCAUUUUCCUGGGCAUGUUGGAGAAGGCUGUUUAUUACGCAGAGUUCCAGAGCAUCCGAUACGACGGCUUGUCUGUGCACGGGGCUGUGGUGUUUGCUGAGGUGCUGUCUGCUGUGAAGAGGACUUUGGCCAGGGUGCUAGUGAUCAUCGCCAGUUUGGGAUACGGCAUCGUCAAGCCCAGACUCGGUGCCCUGCUGCACCGAGUGGUCGGCGCCGGCCUGCUCUACCUGGUGUUCUCCAUCAUUGAGGGAAUCCUGCGAGUCAAUGCUGAUCGAGGAGAUAUGGAGAGCUUGUUUUUGUGUGACAUAGUUCUGGCCUUCAUUGACUCCUGUGUUGCUUGGUGGAUAUUUGUGAGUUUGGCUCAGACCAUGAAGCUGCUGAGGUUGAGGAGGAAUGUGGUGAAGCUUUCUCUCUACACACACUUCACCAACACGCUCAUCUUUGCUGUCAUAGCCUCUGUCAUCUUCAUUAUCUGGACAACUAGGACCUUCAGGAUGUCUAAAUGUCAGUCUGACUGGAGGGAGCUGUGGAUCGAUGACGCCUUCUGGCGCUUCCUGUUUUCCACCAUCCUAUUGGUCAUAAUGUUCCUAUGGCGACCGUCGGCCAAUAACCAGAGGUACGCCUUCAGUCCGCUGGUGGACGAGGAGAGCGAAGAGGAGGAGGAGAAGGAGCCUAUGAUGAACGAGGCUUUCGGUCAGAUGCUUGCAUACGUGCUCCACUCGCUUCCUUCCUCUGUCCUCAUUGUUUCCCCUCCUCCUUGUCUACUGAUGGUGUCCUGCAGGAGUUUUUCACCAGCUUUCAGGAUGAGGAUCUGAAAUGGGUCGAAGAAAACAUCCCAUCGUCUAUGGCCGACGUCACCCUCCCACCUCUCCUCGACUCAGACGAAGAAGCCAUGACAACGAAGUUUGAGAUGUCCAAGAUGGAGUGAAGCCAACAAGACGAGCUGAUACAAACACUGAUGAAUCGACAGGCUGACGUCAUGGUGACGGAUCGAUGGAUGAAAGAUCCCACACGGGUCCUGAGUGUGAGCUUCGUGAGCGUCUCCUGUGACCUCUCGUCACAGCUGGUUGCAUUUGUCUUUUUACUGCCUGUUUGUAUUUAUACAUGUAACAAUCUCUCUGUACAGUAUAUUUUGCCUAAUUUGUUGUGAAAGACAUUCUGUGACGGAGCAGCCACUUCGUUUUCUUACCGUUCACAUGCACAGCUGUGAUUUUAUUUCUCAUUGGAGCUUUAGCUCCUUCUGCAGCAGCUCAGACGUCUGAACGUGGAGAGAGACAGCACUGCACUUUUCUCCCCUGCUCCCAGUAAACAUGUGUUCACAGCACCACUGUCACAGUGUGUCUUUGUUUCCAUCUAAUCGGUUUCGCAAUACUGACGUUUCAGCCUCAGCUGUGUUCACAGCUCGGCGUCGUCAGCUGCUCGCACACUGGUCUGACUUCACCUGAGUGAGGUGUUUGACCGCUUGCAUCAGUAUCUGUUCACUCAUUGAUCGUGUGUGUGUGUCUGUGUGUGCCUGUCUGUCUGUCGGCCUGUCUGUCUGUCUGUCUGUCUGUCUGUGUCCGUCUGUCGGCCUGCCUGUCUGUCUGUCUGUCGGCCUGUCUGCCUGUCUGCCUGAGUGGACUAAACACUUCGUGCCUCGUCCAGAGGUCCCGUCUCACUUCAGCAGCCGCCUUUGUGGUAUCAGGAUGUUCAGGUCCCACUUUGGACUGUGGCGCGUAUCACAGCUGGUGACGUUUCAUUGGCAGAGAACCUGCCGGUUCUGAAUUAAGGUGGGACCACGUUAUAAAGUCUUUAGUUGUUCAGAGCGGCUCCUGAACGUUACAUAUGUUGAAUGUGCUGAUGUGAGUUGAUCCAUCGCUGGUUUAUUAUCGUGGUCCCUUGUUCCUACAGAACAGAGACCUGUAGCUUUGUUUGUGGUGAGUGGAAGCUUUGUUUGGGACGGAACCGGAUGAUGUGAACUUUGUGUUGUUUUCUUUGUAAAUGAAUCAAGUGUUUAUAAUAAAACUGGAGGUAGUCCACA